CGUGCCUUCGUCUCCUUCAAGCAGCAGCAGCCCCGUGCGCCUUCGACCACGCCUGACCCCGAGCCGCUGCCUUCCCCUCGCCUCCCCGUGCAGACCACCCAAGGCCGUCUCAAGCCCUGCCCAGAGCAGCCAGGCCGCCGAGAACCGACGCCGCCCCUGAGCUCCGCCCGCGCCGUCGUUGCCCAGAUCCGCCCCGUCUCCACCUCGCCGGCCUUCCCUGCAGCCGCCGUCGCUCCCCUUCAAGUCCCACGCCGUCGUUGCUGUCCUCUGCUGCUGCCGCUAUUUCCCCUGUCGAACGAACGAGCACGACGCCCCAGCGCUCGCGCCUGGGCCACCUCUGCUUCGGCCCAGCGGCUCCCCUCCGUCGCGUGAGGCCCAGCGCCCCAAGCUGGCCUCCUCUGCCUCGGCCUUUAGGCCCAAUCUUCGGUUUCGUUCCGAAGUUGUGAGGAUUCGUUCGACUACGUCUGUUUGUAUUCUUCAUGGACUCGUUCUUCUUCCU